GACAGAGGAUGCAAGCGUUAUCCGGAAUUACUGGGCGUAAAGGGCUCGUAGGCGGCCAACUAAGUCAGACGUGAAAUCCCUCGGCUUAACCGGGGAACUGCAUCUGAUACUGGAUGGCUUGAGUUCGGGAGAGGGAUGCGGAAUUCCGGGUGUAGCGGUGGAAUGCGUAGAGAUCCGGAAGAACACCGGAGGCGAAGGCGGCUUGCUGGGCGUGAUCUGACGCUGAGGCGCGAAAGCGUGGGGAGCGAACAGG
rnacentral:rRNA from 1 species